UACGGGGGGGCAAGCGUUGUUCGGAAUUACUGGGCGUAAAGGGCUUGUAGGUGGCCAACUAAGUCAGACGUGAAAUCCCUCGGCUUAACCGGGGAACUGCGUCUGAUACUGGAUGGCUUGAGUGUGGGAGAGGGAUGCGGAAUUCCGAGGUGAUAGCGGGUGAAAUGCGUAGAUAGUCUGGAGGAACGACCGGGUGGCGAAGGCGGCAUCCUGG
rnacentral:rRNA from 1 species